rnacentral:lncRNA from 1 species
GCCUCAGUGCAUCCACUUUGUCCAGAAUUAUGGUUGUUUCAUUUAGAUUGAUGUUUAAAAGUGAAAUUAACAGGUCAAAAAGUAGGACCACUUUAAAAGUACUUGAUACUCAAUGCUUGACAGAGUGAGUUUCCAUCCGAGCCAGCAGUGGGUGGCAGCCUGGGACUCAUAAACCCCAACAGGACUUGUGUGCUGGCCUGGUUCAUCUGAGGAGCAAAAAACCAGUGGUGUUUUGGUUUAUAUUUCUUUGAUUACCAAUUGAAGUUAAACAUUUUUUAUCUGUACAUUAACUUUUCUAUUCUUUAAAAAACACUCUUUUUAAACUCUUGAAGUCUAGUGUAUUCCUAACAACUUAGAAGGGAUCUUUGUAUAUUAAGGCUAUCAACCCUUUCUCCAUUAUAUUUGUUGAAAAUGUUUUCCUAAUUAGUUGUUGACUUUUCAUUUCUCGAUGUUUAGAUCCAUUUAAUUAAUUUUUAUUUAUAAUUUUAAUUUACUAUAUACUUUAUAAUAUACUGUAGAAUAAUUUAUCAUGUAAAAAUAAAUUUAGUAAUUUCAUUUACUAAUGUUAAUUUUUAAGUAGUCAAUUAUAUCUUUUAUGGGAGUUGCUGCUGUGGCUCAGUUGGGUUAAGAACCCAACUAGUAUCCACUAAGAUGCAGGUUUGAUCCUGGCCCUUGCUCAUGGGUUAAGGAUCCAGUGUUGCUGUGAACUGUGCUAUAGGUUGCAGACCUGGCUUGGAUCCCACGUGGCUGUGGCUGUGGCUGUGGCCAGCAGCUCUGAUUGACCCCUAACCUGGGAACUUCAAUAUGUCCAGCCCUAAAAAGCAAACAAACAAACAAAAACAAAUCAAAACAAAAAAGCUGGAGGAAUUGGAAAGAGAAUUAAGAAAAAAAAGAAUAAUAAAGGGAAACGGGUACGGAAGGUAUUAUAAUGGAAUGAAACCUAAAUGCACUAAAGACUGACCAUCUGAAUUCAAAUAGUUUUAAGCGAUCUUUGCAAGAAGUGAUUAUGUAAGUGAAUGGAAAAGAACAGGAAUAGAGAAGAGAUAUUAUUCUUCUGGCUGAGAGAAACCAUGAAAGACUUGAACUAGGUCUCUGCAAAGGUGCUUGGUAAAGUCAAUGCAUUGCCACCACUUUUUUAAAAAACAUUUACACUUCUUUUUUUUUCAUUUUUCAAUAUUUGAUUGAAGUGUAGUCUACAAUGCUGUGUUACUUUCUGCUGUCCAUCAGAGUGAUUCAGCCAGGCCUAUAUGCAUAUCCAUACCCAGAUAGAUUGUCACAGAAUAUUGGGUAGGGUUCCCUGUGCUGUACAGCAGGAUCCAUUCCAUAUGCAAUAGUGUACAUAGGCCAAUCCCAAACCUCCCCCCCAAAAGUAUAGUUGUUGAGAAUCAAGGAGAAAGCAAGAUUAAAAUAUUGGGUGAUGGAUCUGCAUCUGUCUCACUGGCUCACUUUGGUCCACUGAGCGGGUACCUUGCAAGGGCUGUAGGCAUCAGUGUGAGAUGUUAAUCUAAUAGGCUGUUCCUUCACUGGGAUAUUCUUGGUGGACCUCUGUUGUUUCCACCAGGUGUGUUGACAUUUAGAACACUCAUCAGCAGGCAGGACAGCCCAUUGAGGACGUGAGUGAUGGAGACAGUGUGGGAUGGAGCUUUCUAGACAGGCUCUAAAACCUCAGAUCCUUGCCUGGGCAGGGCUUCAUUCCAUUCCAAGUUGCUAGGACAGAUCUGCACAUAUUCAUGAAGAGUUGCAUCUAAGUUCCCUCAGGAAGGGCUUUCUAGGUGAUUUUAAAGAUGCGCAUCAAUGACACUUCAAAAAC